UGUGAUCCAUGCAGCGUGUUGUGAUGCAUGCAGCUGUGCUGCAACCUGUGCUGCAGCCCAUGCAACACGCUGUGAUGCAUGCAGCCGUGCUGCAAUCUGUGCUGCAGCCCAUGCAUCAGGUUGUGAUGCAUGCAGCCACGCUGCAAUCCAUGCAACGCGCUGCAAACCUGUGCUGCAGCCCAUGCAAUGCGCUGCAUGCGGUGCUGCGUGCUGCAACUGCACACGGCCCACAUGUGUGGGGUGGGCACUUAUGGGGCUGCGUGAGGCAGCACUGAACAGUGGUUUAUGGCAUUGGCACUUAUGGGGCUGUGCUGUGGGGGGCACUUAUGGGGCUGUGCUGUGGGGCAGUACUUAUGGGGCUGAGCUAUGGGGGGGUACUUAUGGGGCUGUUCUAUGGGGCAGUACUUAUGGGGCUGUGCUGUGGGGCAGUACUUAUGGGGCUGUGUGGGGUACUUAUGGGGCUGUGAUAUGGGGCACUGAUGGGGUUGUGUGGGGCAGGCACUUAUGGGGCUGUGCUGUGGGGGGCACUUAUGGGGCUGUGCUGUGGGGCAGUACUUAUGGGGCUGUGUGGGGUGGUACUUAUGGGGCUGUGUUAUGGGGCAGUACUUAUGGGGUUGUUUUAUGGGGGCACUUAUGGGACUGUUCUAUGGGGCACUUAUGGGGCUGUGAUAUGGGGCACUGAUGGGGUUGUGUGGGGCAGGCACUUAUGGGGCUGUGCUGUGGGGGGCACUUAUGGGGCUGUGCUGUGGGGCAGUACUUAUGGGCCUGUGCUAUGGGGGGUGUACUGAUAGGGCUGUGCUAUGGGGGGCACUUAUGGGGCUGUGUGGGGCGGUACUUAUGGGCUGU
ensembl:lncRNA